UACGUAGGGUCCGAGCGUUGUCCGGAAUUAUUGGGCGUAAAGGGCUCGUAGGCGGUCUGUUGCGUCGGGAGUGAAAACUUACAGCUUAACUGUGAGCGUGCUUCCGAUACGGGCAGACUUGAGGUAUUCAGGGGAGAACGGAAUUCCUGGUGUAGCGGUGAAAUGCGCAGAUAUCAGGAGGAGCACCGGUGGCGAAGGCGGUUCUCUGGGAAUAUCCUGACGCUGAGGAGCGAAAGUGUGGGGAGCGAACAGG
rnacentral:rRNA from 1 species